UACAGAGGGGGCAAGCGUUGUUCGGAAUUACUGGGCGUAAAGGGCGCGUAGGCGGCCCGCUAAGUCGAACGUGAAAUCCCCGAGCUCAACUCGGGAACUGCGUCCGAUACUGGUGGGCUUGAAUCCGGGAGAGGGAUGCGGAAUUCCAGGUGUAGCGGUGAAAUGCGUAGAUAUCAGGAGGAACACCGGUGGCGAAGGCGGGUCUCUGGGCCACUACUGACGCUGAGGAGCGAAAGCGUGGGGAGCAAACAGG
rnacentral:rRNA from 1 species